rnacentral:rRNA from 1 species
UACGUAGGGUGCAAGCGUUGUCCGGAAUUAUUGGGCGUAAAGAGCUCGUAGGCGGUUUGUCGCGUCUGCUGUGAAAACCGGAGGCUCAACCUCCGGCCUGCAGUGGGUACGGGCAGACUAGAGUGCGGUAGGGGAGAUUGGAAUUCCUGGUGUAGCGGUGGAAUGCGCAGAUAUCAGGAGGAACACCGAUGGCGAAGGCAGCUCGCUGGGACGGUACUGACGCUGAGGCGCGAAAGCGUGGGGAGCAAACAGG